UACGUAGGGGGCUAGCGUUGUCCGGAUUUAUUGGGCGUAAAGAGCGUGUAGGCGGCCAGGUAGGUCUGCUGUGAAAACUCGAGGCUCAACCUCGAGACGUCGGCGGAAACCAUCUGGCUAGAGUCCGGAAGAGGAGAGUGGAAUUCCGUGGUGUAGCGGUGAAAUGACGCAGAUAUCGGGAGGAACACCGGUGGCGAAGGCGGGUCUCUGGGCCGAAACUGACG
rnacentral:rRNA from 1 species